UACGUAGGGGGCAAGCGUUGUCCGGAAUUAUUGGGCGUAAAGAGCGCGUAGGCGGUCCGGUAAGUCGGUUGUGAAAGUCGGGGGCUCAACCCUCGGAUGCCGAUCGAUACUGUCGGGCUAGAGUCCGGAAGAGGCGAGUGGAAUUCCUGGUGUAGCGGUGAAAUGCGCAGAUAUCGGGAAGAACACCUAUGGCGAAGGCAGCUCUCUGGGACGGUACUGACGCUGAGACGCGAAAGCGUGGGGAGCGAACAGG
rnacentral:rRNA from 1 species